UCCACAAGCCUUAAAUCCAGUCUUGAGGCAUGUCUUCACCAGCAUAUAUUAUGUUUGGUGCAACUUAGCCGACAAUCUUCUGGUUGUAUGUCAGGAUUGGAUGAGUCAAUCUUGUGGUACAGUAAUAUACCUUAGUCUUGUGACUGACAAUAGUUCGGUUUUCUGUAAACUUUACUAAGUCACUUGUUUGGACAAU